ACACCUAUUUCUCCCUUCUGGAACUUACGGGAGUCAUCUCUCUCUCCCUCACAUUUCUACACCUCUAUUUUCACCAUGGACACACCGCCAAUUUCAUACACACACACACUGAGCGACGAGUCGUCGCCUCCUUCCGGCGACAGGCGCAGCACACUCAUCUUCGUCUCUCUCUCUCCGUGUCUCAGCCUCUCAUUUGCUGCUCAAACGCCCGCCGAUCUCCUUCCCUCUCUGCGUUGCUGCUGCCCGGCAGAUUCCGGCGAUGUCAUUACCUUUUCCGGGCAGAUUUAGACAACGAAUUAACUCCACUUUGUAAACUAACAAGGACAAGGAGAAGGGGGAGGGAUAAAGAGAUUCAUGGGUCAAAGGCAUUGAUUUUGAGGUGGUCCAUACGGAGUUCUCUCGAGGACAAAUUCCGCUCUGCAUCUGAUUCUGGUUCUCUGAAUCUGGUUCUGAUCUGGUCCGAGUACACUAGUCUAUUACGAAGCACUUAAAGGGGCUAUAUGUGUUUGAAUAUGUGAAAUUAUUGGUGAUCUGAAUAAGUGUUGGUGACUGAAUAAUAUUGAUUAGGUGAUCGAAUUAGCUCUUUUUCUUCACCGCGGCUCAAGUCGAGUCACUACCUAACCUUUUGUAUUUGAAUAACUGUCUGAAAUAUUAGCUGUGGCAUGUAUAGGAAGGGUAAUGUAUUUGGAUUUCUUAAUUAUUUCAUACACUUUGGUUAAAAAUAUAUUUUUGUAAAUAGUUACCCAGGUUGUGCCUAUAUAUAUAUAGAUGUUAUAUAGCAGUUUGUCAGUUUACCAAA